rnacentral:misc_RNA from 1 species
GAGGGUGGGCCCCGGGUUGGUGGCAGCCAUUUCUCAUCU